rnacentral:lncRNA from 1 species
AAAAAAGAAAAAAAGACCUCCCUUUCAUUUGAUCGAUUUUGACAUCGUAGCCCUCGGUGUGUUAUAUACGACAAAACUAACCUUAAAAUAUACAUUAUCUAUAGCAUAACAUGAAAGACACGCUGACGUAUUAAUUUUAUUCAUAGGUGGGAAAAAAAUCUAUCGAAAGGCAACAGUAGUAAACCGGUGAUCAAAUGCCAUAAAUCCAUUGAGAGAAAACAAAUCCGAGUUACAAACCAAAAGUAAACACACCAAGAGGACAUCAAAGAACAGGAC